rnacentral:rRNA from 1 species
CCCAAAAUGCCAACUAGCGAUCCGCCGAUGGAAUUAUAUUGCCUUGGUGGGGAGCUUCCCGGAAACGAAAGUCUUCCGGUUCCGGGGGAAGUAUGGUUGCAAAGCUGAAACUUAAAGGAAUUGACGGAAGGGCACCACCAGGAGUGGAGCCUGCGGCUUAAUUUGACUCAACACGGGGAAACUCACCCGGCCCGGACACUGUGAGGAUUGACAGAUUGAUAGCUUUUUCAUGAUUCAGUGGAUGGUGGUGCAUGGCCGUUCUUAGUUCGUGGAGUGAUUUGUCUGGUUUAUUCCGAUAACGAGCGAGACUCUAACCUACUAAAUAGUUGGUACAUACUCUUAGUGUAUACAGCUUCUUAGAGGGAUUUGCGGCGUUCAGCCGAAAGAAAUUGAGCAAUAACAGGUCUGUGAUGCCCUUAGAUGUCCGGGGCUGCACGCGCGCUACACUGGCAAAAUCAACGUGCUUGUCCUACCCUGAAAGGGGCGGGUAAACCAUUGAAAAUUUGCCGUGAUUGGGAUCGGAAAUUGCAAUUAUUUUCCGUGAACGAGGAAUUCCAAGUAAGUGCGAGUCAUCAGCUCGCGUUGAUUACGUCCCUGCCCUUUGUAAUG